ACCCACAAAAGUUUCAACACAAAAACUUUACUCACAAAAACUUCACCCACAAAAGCUUAACCUACAAAAGCUUGACCCACAAAAGCUUCAGCCUAGUUCAAGAAUAAGCAUAUGGAAAGUUACUUCUUUAAAAGCAAAAGUAUCUCAUAUCAUCUCUUCUCCAUUUGCUUCUCCUUAUCCUUGGAGCUAUUUACGACACAAGGAGAAUGAGAACAAUCAACCGGAAGCCUAAGUCGAACCUCCGAUCCAGGUUGCUUGCUUGGAAGUCUGAUUGCUUACCUUGUUUGUUACCUCCUUCAGCAAAUCUCCUAGCUCGGCAACUUGGGGGACUCCUACUAUAAGGUUUGUAUUGCACUUGACCCAACCCGAAACUACAAGUAAGCUUCAAGUGAAAUUGAUACAUUACCUUGUGCAUCUUCAUCGGUUA
rnacentral:lncRNA from 1 species